CACGUAGGGUGCGAGCGUUGUCCGGAAUUAUUGGGCGUAAAGAGCUCGUAGCGGUCUGUUGCGUCCGCUGUGAAAACUCGGGCUUAACCCCGAGCCUGCAGUGGAUACGGGCAGACUAGAGGUAGGUAGGGGAGAAUGGAAUUCCCGGUGUAGCGGUGAAAUGCGCAGAUAUCGGGAGGAACACCGGUGGCGAAGGCGGUUCUCUGGGCCUUACCUGACGCUGAGGAGCGAAAGCGUGGGGAGCGAACAGGAUUGAGAAACC
rnacentral:rRNA from 1 species